rnacentral:rRNA from 1 species
UGGAAGUAAAAGUCGUAACAAGGUCUCCGUUGGUGAACCAGCGGAGGGAUCAUUGCUGGAACGCGCUUCGGCGCACCCAGAAACCCUUUGUGAACUUAUACCUUACUGUUGCCUCGGCGCAGGCCGGCCCCCCCACCGGGGCCCCUCGGAGACGAGGAGCAGCCCGCCGGCGGCCAACCAAACUCUUGUUUCUUAGUGAAUCUCUGAGUAAAAAAACAUAAAUGAAUCAAAACUUUCAACAACGGAUCUCUUGGUUCUGGCAUCGAUGAAGAACGCAGCGAAAUGCGAUAAGUAAUGUGAAUUGCAGAAUUCAGUGAAUCAUCGAAUCUUUGAACGCACAUUGCGCCCUCUGGUAUUCCGGAGGGCAUGCCUGUUCGAGCGUCAUUUCAACCCUCAAGCCUGGCUUGGUGUUGGGGCACUGCUUCGAGAGGAGCAGGCCCUGAAAUCUAGUGGCGAGCUCGCCAGGACCCCGAGCGUAGUAGUUAUAUCUCGUUCUGGAAGGCCCUGGCGGUGCCCUGCCGUUAAACCCCCAACUUCUGAAAUUUUGACCUCGGAUCAGGUAGGAAUACCCGCUGAACUUAAGCAUAUCAAUAAGCGGAGGA